UACGGGGGGGGCAAGCGUUGUUCGGAAUUACUGGGCGUAAAGGGCUCGUAGGUGGCCAACUAAGUCAGACGUGAAAUCCCUCGGCUUAACCGGGGAACUGCGUCUGAUACUGGAUGGCUUGAGUGUGGGAGAGGGAUGCGGAAUUCCAGGUGUAGCGGUGAAAUGCGUAGAUAUCUGGAGGAACACCGGUGGCGAAGGCGGCAUCCUGGACCAUUACUGACACUGAAUAGCGAAAGCCAGGGGAGCGAACAGG
rnacentral:rRNA from 1 species